rnacentral:piRNA from 1 species
AAAAAGGAGUAGACUGAGAUUAAC